UACGUAGGGGGCUAGCGUUGUCCGGAUUUAUUGGGCGUAAAGAGCGUGUAGGCGGCCAGAUAGGUCUGCUGUGAAAACUCGAGGCUCAACCUCGAGCUGUCGGCGGAAACCAUUUGGCUAGAGUCCGGAAGAGGAGAGUGGAAUUCCUGGUGUAGCGGUGAAAUGCGCAGAUAUCAGGAAGAACACCUAUGGCGAAGGCAGCUCUCUGGGACGGUACUGACGCUGAGAGCGAAAGCGUGGGGAGCGAACAGG
rnacentral:rRNA from 1 species